rnacentral:snoRNA from 1 species
UAACAAUAUCGCUAGCUGAUGUUUUGAUUAAU